GCCGAGAUCGCGCCACUGAACUCCAACGUGGGAGCUAGCGCGACUCUGUCUCAAAAAAAAAAAAAGAAAAAAAAGGAGAGGGAGGAGGCCCGGGCCCAGAGGCGAGUGGGGUGCCUCGGGUGGGGAGAGGCUGUGGGCCCCAAAUGCCGUGGGCGGGGAUACGCGAAUUUCCCAGAGGGGGGAACUGAGCCCUCCAGAGGUGCCGGGGACUCCGCGCGCUCAGCCAGGGCACCCGGUGGCCGUCCCUGUCCCUGGGGCACGCGCUCCGUGCUGACGAGGAAAACCAAGAUCUUCCUGGGUUCGAGGCUCCGGCCAGGCCCCGGCGCGUGUGGGUGGACGGCGUCCCGCACGGAGAACGCUCCGCCCGCCAGGCGCGCCGGCCGUAUUUGGACAUUGGUUCUAUUUUUAACUUUCCCGGGACUCGAGUUCGGGGGUUGGGGGAGGGAAAUCCCGCUUCCUCUGGGACCCGCAGGCCUCGGUGCCCGCCCAGAACCCGAGCCCGCCGCGGAGUGUCGUCCCAGGCCCGGAAGUGAGUUCCGGGUCGGUGUAGACGCGGCGGCCGCGCGGGUUCCGGGCUCCACCCUGGAACCAACGGCGUCCCUCCUGGAAAACCUGACUCAGGCGGAGCCCGCCCCGCCCGCCCUCGGCCCCGCCCCCGCCCGCGGACCCCCCCCCCCCCGACACCCCCCCCUCCACCAACCCCACCUGGCGGGGACCCCAGCCCGGCCGCGCGGGAGGCGAGGGAGGCCGGGGAAGCCCCGCGCUUCAGGGGCCCUGGUGGGGGCGGUGCGGGGGGCGGGCCCUCCCUCGCUGACGCCGCCGCCGCCGCCGAGCCCGGGACCCAGAGCGCGGGCAGCAGAGCGGGCGCCAGGCCGGCGGGGCAGGAUGCGCUACCGGGCGUCGGUGAGCCGGGGGGCGGCAGGGCAGGGCGGGGCGGAGGGUCCCGGGCGCCCCUCCCCGCCUCGCGGCGUCGCCUCGGCCUCGCCAGGAAGCGGGCGCGGCCCAGGAAUUCCGUGUGGAAAAACGUCCCGGGAAGUUGCAGGGGGAGGAGGCCGAGGCGGGGAGGGCCGCGCGGGACGCUCGGACCCGGGGGGCCGGACGAGGAGCUGCUGGGGACGCCUGAGAACGCGGAGACCCCUGACCCGAGGGCGAGGGGGCGGGGACCGCGGCCGGAUUUGGCAGCCGCUUGGGCGCGGGAUUGGAGCGGGGCGGGGAGGACAAGCCUGGGAGGGGCAGGCCCCCGGCCCGGCCCGGAGUGACGCCCCAGGCCAGGAAUCUGGGCCUUUUGUGGUCAGAGGACACCCGGCGGCCCCUUUGGGAUCCACCCCCAGUCACCACCACCUUGUUCUUCUCUGA
rnacentral:lncRNA from 1 species